UCCUCUUUAGGGGCCCACUGUUCCGGCUCAUUCUAAAGAUGCAAUCCAGGGAAGGAAGAGAAGCCGGCCUAUAAAAAGUGGUUCAACCAUCCCCCCCAAAAAGAAAGUUUGCCGUGUACAUGCAAAGAAUAAGGUGUUUCUCUUCCAAGAAGUAGUAGGCAAGAGGAAAAAUGAGGACAGGGAAGAAGUCCUCGUGCGGUGGCAACCUUGUUAUGGUUGUGGCGAACAAUGGGAUGACACCUGGGAGCCUUCAGCCAAUUUUCCAAAAGUGAUUAAUAAAGAUAAAAUUUGCUUUUUUUAAUGUGCGUGCGUG